CUUUUAUUUUCAGGAGCUCCAGCAGCGCCCGCAACAGAAGCAGCACCAGCGCCAGCACCAGCCGAAGCACCUGCGCCUGCGCCGGCACCGGCAGAAGCGCCCGCCGCGCCACCACCGGUUGAAGCGUCCGCCUAAGCAAUUCCAUCUUUGUCGUCAACAGUCUGAAUCGUCGGAAAUCAUCAUUGUGGCUAAAUGAUGGAGCCAAAAAGCAAAGUUAACCAUUAG